CAGGGACUUGCUGGUUUGGAUGGAUUGUUGGGGGUUGAAGGAAACGAAGGAGAUAAUGGUGAUAUUGGUUACAGAGGAACCCCUGGUCUGCCAGGGAAGAUGGGUCGGACGAACUGGAUUGAGUGGUGGUCAUGGAGCACCAGGGUCAAAAGGGUCAAAGGUACGACCUGUGUUUGACCAAUUGAGAUACCCAACGCAGGUACUCUUCAGUGCAUGCACAUAGAGCUUGUCACGCCCUGGCCAUAGAGAGGUUUUUAUUCUCUAUUCUGGUUAGGCCAGGGUGUGAUUAGGGUGGGCAUUCUAUGUUUCUAUUUCUUUGUUUUUGGCCGAGUGUGGUUCCCAAUCAGAGGCAGCUGUCUAUCGUCUCUGAUUGGGAAUCAUACUUAGGCAGCCUUUUCCCCACCUGUGUUUUGUGGGUAGUUGUUUUCUGUUUUGUUUCUGCACCUGACAGAACUGUUUCGUUUUGUUCUAUUUUGUUUCAGUUUUCAGUUUGAUUAAAUAUCAUGAACACUUACCACGCUGCACCUUGGUCUCCUUCUACUUCAUAGGAUGAGCGUUACAGAGCUAUUUGGCCAAAACUCUUUAUUUUGCCAUGGUUUACAUUCAGAACAUUCCACCAAUGUUUUGUCAAGGGUAAACUUGGAUCUAAAGGAAAACGAGCACCUGCAGGGCCAAUGGGGCAAAGGGUAAAGCAAUACAUUUGAAACCUUUACAUUCAUGGUUGAUUGUAAAUCCCUGUCUAUAUUCUCAGGCAUUUUUCAUAUGCUUGACAACCAAGCUCUCUGGUAUUGCUAUUUUGCAUUGGGUAUUCCAGGGCUUGGAGGAGAGAAGGGGACAUUUGGCCAGCAUGGCUCAAAGGUGCUGUAUAGGUCUCAAUACUCAAUAACAUCUAUGUUAGAGUAAAAGAACAGUAUUCGUUUUCUAUGGUGCCAUAUCAUCGCUCCUUUAUAUCUGUUCUCCUCUCAGGGUCAGGCUGGGGGCAGAGGCCUACAGGGACAUAUUGGACCACGUGGAGUUAAAGUAUGCUGGAAUAAAGUUGGAAAUCAAUCAACAACACCUCACAAUUAGACAGCAGAUGACAUUGCUGUCUUUUAUUUAGGGGAAUGCAGGACUGCAAGGGAAUAAAGGGUGGCUAGAUCCAAAAGGCAUACAUGUUAUCUUGUGGAAUCUCUUUUCCAUAUGAGUUAAUGGAAUCAUAUCCUGAUACAUUUUGAUAACGGUAUCAGAACAAUAUUUCUUAUCAGUUUAUGUCAGUGCAUUGGUAGUUUAUAGGGAGACAUUGGUCCUCGCAGUCCACCUGGGAAAAAGGGCUCCCCUGGUCAACCUGUAUAUUUUGUCAAUAUUUCACAAACCUUUUCAGUUUGCUACAAUUAUGACAUUUUGAAGUCUUGUUUGAUCAAUGUUUCUUUUUAUUUUUCAGUGUCUUCUUGGAAAGAGAGUUAGUAACCAUUUGGCAUUCUAAUGUCUAUUGUUGGGGAUAUUUCCAUGGUUUACAUCUCAAUCUAUCAUGCUCUUUGCAGGGAAUGAAAGGGAUACAAGGAAUGCCUGGAGCUAAGGGAGUGAGAGGUCGGCGUGGACUACCAGGGAAACCAGGUCCUCCUGGCCGUCCAAGAAAUAUGCGACCUGAAUCCCUUGGAAAAAUAAUAAGAUUUUAAGAACAAUACCGGACCAUGGCCAGGAGAACGCUUGACUCAUUCCCUGACCAUCACUCAAGCAGCUCCUUCAGCUGGCAUCGGGGCACCAAAGACAGCCCUGCAACGAGCUGGGGCUGAUUCAUCCACACCUGCAGGAUGGAAACCUUUACGUGGACCCUAACCAGGGCUGCCCAUUUGAUGCCCUGCAAGCGUUCUGUAACUUCACUGCAGGAGGGUUGACCUGUAUACCUCCUGUGCUGUCACAAUUUAAGUAUGCCGAUCUUGAUGCGGUCCAGCUCCGGUUUCUACGGUUACACAGCCACUUUGCCGCUCAGCGCCUGACCAUCGCCUGCCCUGUUAACCAUACUAGCAGAGCAAUCAGGAAAAAUACAACAAACAGGGUUCUUCACUUUCUGGGAGACUCCGGUGUGGAGAUUGGCUCAAACUAUAUGAGAGUAUCGAGGAAUGGUUGAAUGGAGGUACGAGUAUGGGGGAGCACAGAGAUCCAUAGAGGGGACUUGGAGCUGUUGCCCCUCAGGGACGUUAGUGUGGAGGGAAAGGGAGAACUGGGACACAGACCUCAGAGCUCUCCUGGGACCUUUGCUUUUUGUAGCCUCCGUUUAUUCAGAGAGAAGCAGCAAGCACUGCUCAGUGUAUGGGUCAAGAUCAUUUGGCUGCAAUUCUUCAUCAGGACAAAAAGAUCUCAUGUUGUUUGUUCGCUGUAGCGCUUAUGUAUAAUUGCGAUAACAACUAGCUGUACUGUAUAAUGAAAUAUGUAUUUCUGAGUGUGAUAUAGUGUUAUAAUAUGUGUAUUUUAUAAAGAAAAAUAUAUAUACCUGUUGUAUUCAUCUCCUGCUUAUUGAUAAAAAAAAUCAUUUAAAAAAUCA